rnacentral:misc_RNA from 1 species
GAUGAAGAACGCAGCGAAAUGCGAUACGUAAUGUGAAUUGCAGAAUUCAGUGAAUCAUCGAAUCUUUGAACGCAUAUUGCGCUCUCUGGUAUUCCGGAGAGCAUGCUUGUUUGAGUAUCAGUAAACACCUCAACUCCCUUUUCUUUUUUGAAAUUGGAGCUGGACUUGAGUGAUCCCAACGCUUUCUUCCAAGAAAGUGGCGGGUUGCUUGAAAUGCAGGUGCAGCUGAACUUUUCUCUGAGCUAUAAGCAUAUCUAUUUAGUCUGCCAAAAAAACAGAUUAUUACCUUUGCUGCAGCUAACAUAAAGGAGACUAGUUCUUGUGCUGACUGAUGCAGGAUUCACAGAGACAGCUUCGGCUGACUUUGUAAACUCGAUCUCAAAUCAAGUAAGACUACCCGCUGAACUUAAGCAUAUCAAUAAGCGGAGGA